rnacentral:tRNA from 1 species
GGCAGUGUGGUCCAAUAGCUAAGGCACUAGACUGAGAUUCGAGAGUCCUGGAUUCUAGUCCCAGUUCUCCCA